UUGUGGUAUCAAGCAAGGUGCAAGAUGUGGAAACUACGGUGCCAACUGCAUGAAAUGGAUCAUAAGUAUGCAGCGCCAACAAAUGCCGCUGACGCCCCUUCUGUUAUGUCGGGGGAAGUUGCUUACAGCCAUUUUGUCUUCAGAUAUGAUUUCAAGGAUUGGAAG